GCACUGCUGAGGAGUCUCAUACGGGGACGAAACGGCCGUCCAGUGC
rfam:Schistosoma margrebowiei strain Zambia genome assembly, scaffold: SMRZ_scaffold0000436